UAACUUGAGAAUUAUAUUUCACAUCCAAGCAUAAUAUUCAUAUAUUAACAAAAAACUACAUGAUUUCAUUAGUUUAUAUGUCAUAAUCCAUAUGUUUUAAAAUUUUACAACAUCAAAAAGUUACAACAUUGUAAUGACAUUCUAUCAUGUCAUUAUAAAAUCUAAAUAUUACAAACACAAAAAAAUACAAAAUGAAAAAUACAAAAUAAAUUCACUACUUUAUCUUAUGGUCGGGAGUUUGAUCCCUAUUCAUGAGAAUAGAGCACAUUUUGUGACUAUUCAUCCCACAAUAGCAUAAUACUUUAUUUUAAUUUACAUUUGUCAUUAUACGUAAAUUUGUCAAUUAACUUAAUGUGAUUGAAUUUUGCCACUAAAAUUUGAAUUUUAUUGAAUAUUUCCACCAACUUUAAUUUUUUUUAACUAAAAUUUACCACCCAAUAUUGAUUUUGAUGAUUUGAAAACAAAUUUUAACAAAAAAAUAUUCUUUCAAAUAUUUUAUUUUAAAAGUUAACCAUAACUUAAUUUAUAAAAUAUAAUACAUUAAAUUAGAAUUUUUAUUUAUUAAAUUAAAGGACUUGAAAAUUAAAUAUAAGUUAACUUUAAUUUUUAAAAUUAUAUUAAUUAAUUUAUUAUUUUAACUAUUAAAAUAAAAUAUUAAAAAUAUGUUUUAAUUAAAAAAUAUCUUUAAAUAAAUUUGAAUAAAAAAAUUCAAGUAAAGAUAAAACUAGGCAAAAUUUAAUAGAGAGUUCAAAAAAUAAUAGGCAAAAGUUGCUGUUGAAGGCUCCGCACAAGUUCCUAAAGUCUCUAAAUGUUCUUCUCUUGUGAUAAAAUGAUCUGCAACAAGUGAAAGAUUACAAGUUAAUCACAGGUAGAAUAGCCGACAAAAGGUAUGUAUCAUGCCAAAAACAUAACUUCAUUAUAAUUUGCCUUUUCCCAAUAGCAUAUUGUAAAUGAAAUAGCAAGAAUUUUGUCAAGACUAUCCAACAAAUGCAACAAUAGAUAAAAGCAAGAAUUUUACUAACAGAAAUAGAAUGUGCUAUGUCACAUUUAUGGCUUUUCCUCAAUAAAAAGCUUCCCACGACAAUUAUGUCGAGCUUUGAAGGUGAAACCUAUGUAAAAUGCCAGGUUAAUCACUAAACAUAACAAGUUCUCUUGAGGAAAAGAUGUAAACCUCAUCAGAAAAACAAGAAGCAUCAGCAACUAAUUUGGUGACAAGAAUAGAGAGCAUCAUAAAAAAGUUUUGGUCUUAUUAUAUUAAAUAAAUAAAUGAACCAUUGAUUUUAAGUUUUAACAUUUUAAUUAAAAUCAUGUUUGAUUUUUAUAUAUAAUUUUUUAUAGUUGUAGCAAUACUAAAAAAAACAAAUAAGAUCAAAAUUUAACUAUUAAAAUAAUAUCAUUUACAAUCUAUAAGAACUAUAUAUGAAAACUGCAAAAUAGGGUAUAUCUCUAUUUGAUUUAAAAUCAUUUCAUGAACUAGUUUCUAUGCUUAGGAGAAGAUCACUUAAUCUUGAUUGUGCUUAAAUAUGGUACAAGGCAUUUCAACAAUUUGAUUUAGAUAGUAGACAACAAUGGGGCUUAAACUUGCAGCUGUUCUAGUACAAAUGCAGCUUAGCUUAUGCUAUGUAGAUUAUUAAAUGGGCUAUACAGGUAGGGUUGAGUGGCAAGAGCAAGGACUUGAGAGGUAUACAUGCUUGUACAGAUAGUAAAAAAGUGACAUUUGGUCCAUCUAUUUUUUAGCGUUAAUGAUGAAAGUAAUAGAAGGGCAUUUGACAGGGAAGAGCUAACUUCAUCAAAGCUCUAAUAGUUAUUAGGAGUAACUAAUAUUUGAAUUUUGUUUCAACUGUUUGAACAAAAAAAUAAACUGGCUUCCUUCAUGAAUCAAGCCCUCUUAUUGCGUGUUUGUCAUCAUUUUGUACUGAUUAAAGAAAAUAUUUUAGCUACAAAUCAUAAGUUACAUAGAGUAACUUAACACUGCCAUCAUAAUAAUCUAGCACAAGAUAGUGUUAGGUCUUCAAGAAUUCAAGUCCUCAUAAUUUGCAGAUCCCACAACUGUUCAGAGGGCCAUUUUUUCAGGCAGGAGGGGGCAACAAGGAGCCUAUUUCAGACUAUCAGAUUUAUCAAUCAUGAUUUUUCAUCACUUCAUACCAAAUAAUGAUUCAAUUGAAUUUAGUAUAAAGUAAUAAAGAAACUGCUUGAAUAUAUUAUGAAGCUACCUAUAUGUUCAAAAGGUUCAAUAUGCCAAAUUAAUGAAGCAACAAUAUGGGAAAUUAUUAAAUUUACUCUGACAUACCUUACAGACUCACUUGGAAGAUCCAGUACAAUGACCCCUGUGCUUAUCUAUAAUAUAUCUCUAUGUCUACGAAGCAUUAACAACUUGCUUUUCUAUGAAAGGAGGAGCUAAAAUCUUAAACACAUACUAUUUUGACAUUUAUUUAAUACUAUACAUAUACAAAUAACACAAAGCAGAAACCAGGACAUCCUUCGUGAAAGAAGAGAGGACAAAGUGUCUCUUAUUAUUGGUUCUUUUUUUUUAAUUUCAGGAAAAUAUGGAUUAGAGGUGGUCCAAUACUGUUAUAAAUAACUAUUCUGGUCUUAUUCAGACAUAGCACUAAACCAUAAGUCAACUUAAAUCACACAAGUAUUAAUUUUUGUGCAUUUUCUUAACCCAAUCGAUAGAAAAUGACUAAUUGAGAAACAUACCAGGUGCACAAAGAAAUCUUCAACAACAGCUGUAUUACUCUUUAAUAGAAAUGCUUCGUUCCUGUUUUAAAAACAAAAUCCACAUAAUUCUGCAUGUGCGGUUGAAGAUGAUAAGGAUCCUGAUGAAAUUUUUAUCCACUCUUCACAACCGAAGCUUGAGGAUGAAUUUGUGGAAAUGGGAAAUCGAUGGAAAUUAUAGAAUUCAACCGGAGCUUGAGGAGGGAGAAUCGAUGGAAUUCGCCGAUAGGUAAGAAUUUGGUGGCUUUAGUUUGAAAUUGGAUCUAGGUUCGGGCUUGGAUAGGGUUGGUGAGGAUGGUUCAGAGGUGAAAAAGAUUGAGAAGGUUGGAAGGAAAUAGGAAUCAGAAGUGAAAAAAAAGAAGAAGAAUAAGAAGAAGAAGAAUGAAGAAAAAUGGUCAGAUGUGAAAAAGAAGUGAAGGGCAAAGUCGAUAAAAUUUCAGGCUGAAUAUGUAUUCAAUGAGGAGGCUGCUAAAUUAUAAAC
rnacentral:lncRNA from 1 species